rnacentral:rRNA from 1 species
CCUAUUAGAAUUCAAUACGUGAAUCUCUUAUAACAUCGAGCCCCGAUCUCCCCCACUCUGUAACAGGAGGGGGGAGUUUGGGUAAGGCAAUAGGUGUAAGGGACGAGAAUCGUAUUGAAGAGGUCAGCAUCAGUUACAAAGGAAAGAUUAGGGAUGCAGAAGGUAGGUCCCCCGUGGGCUGCUUUAUAGAUGCAUCAUCAUCUACUUUUCUUUGUGACUGACGUGUACUUUUUGCAUGGAAUUUUCGGGCUACACUCUUUUUAGAGUACUCGAGUUCUGUGAUGCUGGCUGAAACGGUUUCAACCGACCCGUCUUG